AGUAAGCUGACAGCUGGGCCGGGCAGAAAGACUGACAGCAAAGCUCUUAAUUCUCCAGUGCAGAGUGUAACUCCUUGUACAGUGAGGCAUUGAGGUGCUCGACAUUAACCACUACUUCCUUGAGAGGCUCCAACCUGUCAGCAGUGUGUAAAUGUCUUCUGUUCACGUCUCGGAAAAAGAUGCACAGCUGAAUCAAGGAAUGGCUGCUGACAGUGCACUUAGGACUGCAUAUAGCCGAACCAAAUGCCCGAAGGAUGCUACGAUGGAAAGCAGGUGCUGACCACAUGCAUCUCAUGUCUUUGGUGGAUACUGAAAGUGUUGACAAUGGACCCUAAGCUGAAAAUGAAGCUACUCAUACACUGAUAGAAGAUUCUUAAUACCUUGAAAUACUCAUGCUUCAUAAUCAUGUACUCUUACAAACAGUAAGCAAAACAGCAAUAGCUGU
ensembl:lncRNA